AGAGUUUGAUCCUGGCUCAGAACGAACGCUGGCGGCAUGCCUAACACAUGCAAGUCGAACGCUUUUGGGGUUUCGACCUCAAGGGAGUGGCGCACGGGUGAGUAGCGCGUGGGAACCUGCCCUGUUGUGGGGGAUAACCGAGGGAAACUUCGGCUAAUACCGCAUGCGCCGGGAGCGAUCCCGGGAAAGAUUUAUCGCAGCAGGAGGGGCCCGCGUCGGAUUAGCUAGUUGGUGGGGUAACGGCCUACCAAGGCACCGAUCCGUAGCUGGUCUGAGAGGAUGAUCAGCCACACUGGGACUGAGACGCGGCCCAGACUCCUACGGGAGGCAGCAGUGGGGAAUAUUGGACAAUGGGCGCAAGCCUGAUCCAGCAAUGCCGCGUGAGUGAUGAAGGCCUUAGGGUUGUAAAGCUCUUUCAGCGGGGAAGAUAAUGACGGUACCCGCAGAAGAAGCCCCGGCUAACUUCGUGCCAGCAGCCGCGGUAAUACGAAGGGGGCUAGCGUUGCUCUGAAUCACUGGGCGUAAAGCGCACGUAGGCGGAUUUCUAAGUCAGGGGUGAAAUCCUGGAGCUCAACUCCAGAACUGCCUUUGAUACUGGGAAUCUCGAGUCCGGGAGAGGUGAGUGGAACUGCGAGUGUAGAGGUGAAAUUCGUAGAUAUUCGCAAGAACACCAGUGGCGAAGGCGGCUCACUGGCCCGGUACUGACGCUGAGGUGCGAAAGCGUGGGGAGCAAACAGGAUUAGAUACCCUGGUAGUCCACGCCGUAAACGAUGGAUGCUAGCCGUUGGUGGGUUUACCCUUCAGUGGCGCAGCUAACGCAUUAAGCAUCCCGCCUGGGGAGUACGGUCGCAAGAUUAAAACUCAAAGGAAUUGACG
rnacentral:rRNA from 1 species